GCNCNUNCGNUGUGGGNCAUCNCUCNAANACAUGCAAGUCGAACGAUGAAGCCUUUCGGGGUGGAUUAGUGGCGAACGGGUGAGUAACACGUGGGCAAUCUGCCCUUCACUCUGGGACAAGCCCUGGAAACGGGGUCUAAUACCGGAUAUGACACACGACCGCAUGGUCUGUGUGUGGAAAGCUCCGGCGGUGAAGGAUGAGCCCGCGGCCUAUCAGCUUGUUGGUGGGGUGAUGGCCUACCAAGGCGACGACGGGUAGCCGGCCUGAGAGGGCGACCGGCCACACUGGGACUGAGACACGGCCCAGACUCCUACGGGAGGCAGCAGUGGGGAAUAUUGCACAAUGGGCGAAAGCCUGAUGCAGCGACGCCGCGUGAGGGAUGACGGCCUUCGGGUUGUAAACCUCUUUCAGCAGGGAAGAAGCGAGAGUGACGGUACCUGCAGAAGAAGCGCCGGCUAACUACGUGCCAGCAGCCGCGGUAAUACGUAGGGCGCAAGCGUUGUCCGGAAUUAUUGGGCGUAAAGAGCUCGUAGGCGGCUUGUCACGUCGGAUGUGAAAGCCCGGGGCUUAACCCCGGGUCUGCAUUCGAUACGGGCAGGCUAGAGUUCGGUAGGGGAGAUCGGAAUUCCUGGUGUAGCGGUGAAAUGCGCAGAUAUCAGGAGGAACACCGGUGGCGAAGGCGGAUCUCUGGGCCCGAUACUGACGCUGAGGAGCGAAAGCGUGGGGAGCGAACAGGAUUAGAUACCCUGGUAGUCCACGCCGUAAACGUUGGGAACUAGGUGUGGGCGACAUUCCACGUCGUCCGUGCCGCANCUNACGCAUUAANUUCCCCGCCUGGGGNGUNCNGCCNCANGGUUAAACUCAAAGGAAUUGACGGGGGCCCCCNCAANCCCGGGACAUGNGGNUUAUUUCACNCACCCNAAAAACU
rnacentral:rRNA from 1 species